rnacentral:misc_RNA from 1 species
UUUCCGUAGGUGAACCUGCGGAAGGAUCAUUACCGAGCGAGGGCCCUCUGGGUCCAACCUCCCACCCGUGUCUCUUGUACCUCGUUGCUUCGGCGGGUUAACGCCCCGGAAGGCCCAAAAAGCCGCCGGAACCAGGCGCCCGCCGGGGGACCCAAACUCUUGUAUUUCUUACUUUGCAUGUCUGAGUGGAAUCAUAAACAAAUGAAUCAAAACUUUCAACAACGGAUCUCUAGGUUCUG